rnacentral:rRNA from 1 species
UACGGGGGGAGCAAGCGUUGUUCGGAUUUACUGGGCGUAAAGGGCGCGUAGGCGGUCAGUGCAAGUCAGUUGUGAAAUCUCCGGGCUUAACUCGGAACGGUCAACUGAUACUGCUCGACUAGAGUGCGGAAGGGGCAACUGGAAUUCUUGGUGUAGCGGUGAAAUGCGUAGAUAUCAAGAGGAACACCUGCGGCGAAGGCGGGUUGCUGGGCCGACACUGACGCUGAAGUGCGAAAGCUAGGGGAGCGAACGGG